AACAUCGCGCACCUGCGGGAACCUGCGGAAGGAUCAUUACCGAGUUUACAACUCCCAAACCCCUGUGAACAUACCACUUGUUGCCUCGGCGGAUCAGCCCGCUCCCGGUAAAACGGGACGGCCCGCCAGAGGACCCCUAAACUCUGUUUCUAUAUGUAACUUCUGAGUAAAACCAUAAAUAAAUCAAAACUUUCAACAACGGAUCU
rnacentral:misc_RNA from 1 species